GUAGGUGGCAAGCGUUGUCCGGAAUUAUUGGGCGUAAAGCGCGCGCAGGCGGUUCUUUAAGUCUGAUGUGAAAGCCCACGGCUCAACCGUGGAGGGUCAUUGGAAACUGGAGAACUUGAGUACAGAAGAGGAGAGCGGAAUUCCACGUGUAGCGGUGAAAUGCGUAGAGAUGUGGAGGAACACCAGUGGCGAAGGCGGCUUUCUGGUCUGUAACUGACGCUGAGGCGCGAAAGCGUGGGGAGCAAACAGGGAUUAGAUACCCUGGUAGUCCACGCCGUAAACGAUGAGUGCUAAGUGUUAGGGGGGUUUCCGCCCCCUUAGUGCUGCAGCUAACGCAUUAAGCACUCCGCCUGGGGAGUACGGCCGCAAGGCUG
rnacentral:rRNA from 1 species